ACAAGCUGUAUACUUUGGAAAAGAGGUCACGAGGAAUUUCGCUCCGCGCGUGCAGCAGUUCGUAAAGGUAUAAAAAUGCCAGUUCUAUCUACGAAUCACUCAGCACUUCUAAACAGAAGACCUUCUGGAAACAACUGAGCGUGAGCCUUUCCCAUUACCAAAAAAAGCAUGCAGCUGAAAGUGAUCCUGGUGGGCUUGGCAAUCUUUGGUCUUAUUGUGGCAGAGAACGGUGCUAUGCCGGCUAGCAGCUCCAGUGAUGCCGAGGGCUGAUCCCGAGAUUGUUGAGCGUGCCGAGCAGGGCAGCGUCGAGGAGGCGCGUAUCAGCGAGGCAUGCAUGCAAUGACUGUGCGGGUAAUAACCUGAGGCAAGAGCAAGGCACCUCCUGAAGAUCGUCUCCUGCAAAAAUAACACGAAUAUUUCAAAAGUAGUAUAGGCACUGCUCAGUUCUCCACACCUUGCCCCAGUGCGGAAUAUUGGACUUUGCGGAUGUCUGUUGCGCCUGCUCUUGCGUUUAAUAAAGCUCCGUUUAUUAUGUAA